GACGAACGCUGGCGGCGUGCUUAACACAUGCAAGUCGAACGGAAAGGCCCUGCCUUUGUGGGGUGCUCGAGUGGCGAACGGGUGAGUAACACGUGAGUAACCUGCCCUUGACUUUGGGAUAACUUCAGGAAACUGGGGCUAAUACCGGAUAGGAGCGCCUGCUGCAGGGUGGGGGUUGGAAAGUUUCGGCGGUUGGGGCUGGACUCGCGGCUUAUCAGCUUGUUGGUGGGGUAGUGGCUUACCAAGGCUUUGACGGGUAGCCGGCCUGAGAGGGUGACCGGCCACAUUGGGCCUGGGAUACGGCCCAGACGCAUACGGGAGGCAGCGGGGGGGAAUAUGGCACAAUGGGCGGAGGCAGGAUGCAGCAACGCCGCGUGCGGGAUGACGGCCUUCGGGUUGUAAACCGCUUUCGCCUGUGACGAAGCGUGAGUGACGGUAAUGGGUAAAGAAGCACCGGCUAACUACGU
rnacentral:rRNA from 1 species